CCCGCGUCCAAUUUUGAAGGCAGAAAAUGUCGGUAGGAGGCGAGCAUAACCAGGCCUAACUUAAACCUGUUAAAAGACAAUCCGGGUUCGCAGCGCGAUUUUAAAAAACUAAGAAGUCAGAAAUUCUAUCUAUAUGCUGCAUAUGAUCAGUCCCAAAAAAUUUCGGAUUGUUCCAGGCCCCGUCGAAUACCUGGAAAACGUGUUUAUUGUCAACUCUACAGGAUCGACCGAAGUCCAUGGAGUUGGGGGCAUUCGAUCUGCCCCAUAGCAGUGAGACGCCACUGUUUUUUUCGCCGUAUAAUUAUUAUGGUGGGACUGAAAAUGAACUUAAGCAAGAUGUGAUGGUGAUACAGUAUGGCUUGGAGAACUUCAAAAGUCGGUUCGCGUCGUGGUUCCAAAGCGGUAACUUUAGGUUCCCUACAUUUACAGAAUGUCGCAUUUAAGUACUCAUUUUUUAAUUUGCAAUUUUUACAUUUCAUUUUUACUUUUUUUCUUAUUCUAUACAAAGCUUUAAUAU
rnacentral:lncRNA from 1 species